rnacentral:rRNA from 1 species
UACGGAGGGCGCAAGCGUUGUUCGGAAUCAUUGGGCGUAAAGCGCGUGCAGGCGGCUUGGUAAGUCGGGUGUGAAGGCCCGGGGCUCAACCCCGGAACUGCACCCGAUACUGCCUCGCUAGAGUCCCGGAGAGGAUGGCGGAAUUUCCGGUGUAGAGGUGAAAUUCGUAGAUAUCGGAAGGAACACCAGCGGCGAAGGCGGCCAUCUGGACGGUGACUGACGCUCAGACGAGAAAGCGUGGGGAGCAAACAGG